rnacentral:lncRNA from 1 species
AGUCUUGUCACAAAAUAUUAAACCUGGACCUGAUCAAGCAUCUGGACUGGCUUAUGGAUAUAGAGAAAAUGUAGGGGAUAGAUGAGCACGGGAAAUGUCUCCGUGGGGCAAAAUUCACGAAAUUCAGAUUGUUGGACACUCUCCAGGACAAAAGGUCUAGAUUCUUCAAAAACAACAACAUCGAAAAAAAAAAACUGCCAGAAAGAAAAAAUACAGAGGGAGAAGGACACAGAACACAUUUAUGAGUCUUUUCACCCUCAUUUCGUUGAAGAUUUUAUUGGCCGAAGAACCCUCAGUAGGCACGAAAUUCAUUCUCACAAGCAGAGAGAUGCAUUAUGCUCCAUUUAUUGCUCAUCCUAAAUUAUAAACAUUUCCAGUGAAUGUAAAGGAAGAUAUGAUUGAAAAGGACUCUGUGAAGACAGGAUGUUUCUGUACAGUCCUUGUAUCUGCUCACCUAUUCCAAACUUUCCAGAGAUUUUACCAGAGGUUUAAGAUAUUCUCCUGAGGGUUUGCUGUAGAGAGAUUUUUCUUAACUAAGGAGUGCAAGUAGCAAGCAAUAGCCCACCCAGUUGGAGACAAAAAAGAAGGGUGUCAGUGUUCCCACUGUUAAAAAACAAAAAAAAAUCACCCUGGACACCUCUGAGAAUUAUACAAGGGGAUGUACACAGCCCUGCUUUAUUUGAGUUCAAAAGGAAGGUGGGUUUUGAAAGAAGAACAAGGAGAGUAGAUCUCUCUGGAUCUUCUGAUGCUCACAGCAAAGAGCUCAAGGUAUCUGAGUCAACUCUUGAGGCUUCUUCGAACAGAGGGAUGAAGAGAGAAUAUGGCAAGCUUGCCAACAGAUCCCAGAAGUUUUAAGAGAAAAGAACAGAUUGCUCUUUGCAAAACAAACCGAGCUGGGUGCAUGGAGCCCCAGUAGACAGAAAAGGAAGAAACAGGCCCAGAGAAGUUGGGUAACUCAUCAAAGGUCACAGAGCUAAGAGUGGCAGAGUCAGGCCUGGAGCCCAGGAAGUCUGGUUUCGAAUUUCAUGCUUCUAACCUGAGCACUGUACUGCUUGGUGGAGUUCUCUGCUAGUCCUACCUUUCAGGCAGAGGUGAUGCAGCAAGAAAGCUGCCACCAGAUGCAGCCCCUUGAUCUCGGACUGCCCAGCCUCUAGAACUGAGUUGAAGAGCAAUUCCCUCCAGUUUCCAUUAGAAAUGCUUCUUCUUCCAUAUCAAAUAUUGUGAGAUAGCCUGAAACACCUUUCAACACUUUACUACCCUUCUCCAAAAUUCAACAGAUAUGAUUUCCACGGACUUUACUCACAGGGGCUUCAGUAGAAGAGGAAGAGGCUUGGGUUUAAUUGAAGGUGGCCUGAGACAUCUGUGAGGAACAGCCCUUUUAGAGACAUAUCCCCUACAAAUAAAGCAUCAGAAUUAUUAUCCUA